rnacentral:snoRNA from 1 species
AAAUGUUAUGAUGAUUGGCAAAAUGUUCAACUGCUCUGAAGAGAGUGAAUGAUGACAGCCUUUCUGAACAUUU